GAUGAACGCUGGCGGCGUGCUUAACACAUGCAAGUCGAACGGACAGGCCCCAGCUUGCUGGGGUACUCGAGUGGCGAACGGGUGAGUAACACGUGGGCGAUCUGCCCUGCACUUUGGGAUAAGCUUGGGAAACUGGGUCUAAUACCGUAUAUGACCACUUCUUGGAUGUUGCGGUGGAAAGCUUUUGCGGUGUGGGAUGAGCCUGCGGCCUAUCAGCUUGUUGGUGGGGUAAUGGCCACAAAGGCGGCGACGGGUAUCCGGCCUGAGAGGGUGUACGGACACAUUGGGACUGAGAUACGGCCCAGACUCCUACGGGAGGCAGCAGUGGGGAAUAUUGCACAAUGGGCGCAAGCCUGAUGCAGCGACGCCGCGUGGGGGAUGAAGGCCUUCGGGUUGUAAACUCCUUUCGCUAUCGACGAAGCCACUUGUGGUGACGGUAGGUAGAUAAGAAGCACCGGCUAACUACGUGCCAGCCGCCGCCGUAA
rnacentral:rRNA from 1 species